rnacentral:tRNA from 4 species
GCCGGCGUAGCUCAGUGGUUAGAGCGAUCGCUUCAUAAGCGAUAGGUCGCAGGUCCAAUUCCUGCCGCCGGCA